rnacentral:rRNA from 1 species
GUGGGGAAUUUUGGACAAUGGGCGAAAGCCUGAUCCAGCAAUGCCGCGUGCAGGAAGAAGGCCUUCGGGUUGUAAACUGCUUUUGUACGGAACGAAACGGUCUGGGUUAAUACCCUGGGCUAAUGACGGUACCGUAAGAAUAAGCACCGGCUAACUACGUGCCAGCAGCCGCGGUAAUACGUAGGGUGCGAGCGUUAAUCGGAAUUACUGGGCGUAAAGCGUGCGCAGGCGGUUUUGUAAGACAGGCGUGAAAUCCCCGGGCUCAACCUGGGAAUGGCGCUUGUGACUGCAAAGCUGGAGUGCGGCAGAGGGGGAUGGAAUUCCGCGUGUAGCAGUGAAAUGCGUAGAUAUGCGGAGGAACACCGAUGGCGAAGGCAAUCCCCUGGGCCUGCACUGACGCUCAUGCACGAAAGCGUGGGGAGCAAACAGGAUUAGAAACCCGGGUAGUCC